rnacentral:rRNA from 1 species
GAUGAACGCUAGCGGCAGGCCUAAUACAUGCAAGUCGAGGGAGAAUGUUGGAUUCGUCUGACAUGAAACCGGCGCACGGGUGCGUAACACGUAUGCAACCUACCUUUAACUGGGGUAUAGCUCAGAGAAAUCUGAAUUAAUCCCCCAUAAGACUACGACAUGGCAUCAUGAUGUAGUUAAAGCUCCGGCGGUUAAGGAUGGGCAUGCGGUACAUUAGCUAGUUGGUGAGGUAAUGGCUCACCAAGGCUACGAUGUAUAGGGGGUCUGAGAGGAUGAUCCCCCACACUGGUACUGAGACACGGACCAGACUCCUGCGGGAGGCAGCAGUAGGGAAUAUUGGUCAAUGGACGCAAGUCUGAACCAGCCACGCCGCGUGAAGGAUGAAGGCCCUAUGGGUCGUAAACUUCUUUUAUUAGGGAAGAAAAAACGGGAUGCGUCCUGUACUGACGGUACUUAAUGAAUAAGGAUCGGCUAACUUCGUGCCAGCCGCCGCUGUAA